rnacentral:lncRNA from 1 species
UAGUACAAGGAAAUCAAAAGUGCUCAAUUCACUAAUUGUUUCGUAACAUUCAAAAAACAAAAUAGUGCAGCUAAACACCUUUAUUUCUGGUUUCUUUCAAGCAUUCAAAACAUAAUCACAAAUAGAUCAUAGAGUAAAAUAGGUCCAAAACACUCAAAGACUUCACGUAGUACUAUACGACAACUUUAUUACAGAAACAAAAGGUAUCAUAUUAAUUUGCAGCUCAGAAAAGAACACCAUGACUUCUAUGUU